rnacentral:rRNA from 1 species
ACAGCAGCCGCCGCGGGAAUACGUAGGUGGCAAGCGUUGUCCGGAAUUAUUGGGCGUAAAGGGCUCGCAGGCGGUUUCUUAAGUCUAAUGUGAAAGCCCCCGGCUCAACCGGGGAGGGUCAUUGGAAACUGGGAAACUUGAGUGCAGAGGAGGAGAGUGGAAUUCCAUGUGUAGCGGUGAAAUGCGUAGAGAUGUGGAGGAACACCAGUGGCGAAGGCGACUCUCUGGUCUGUAACUGACGCUGAGGAGCGAAAGCGUGGGGAGCGAACAGGAUUAGAUACCCCGGUAGUCCCUGUCUCUUAUAC